rnacentral:rRNA from 1 species
ACKGCUCAGUAACACGUGUUAAUCUCACCUUAGCGACGCGUACUACCCAGGGAACAUGGGUAUCAUUCGUGAUAGGCAAAGAGAGCUGCAAUGUGUCUUUACAUCAAUGAGCUUACGUUAUCCUCGUAAGCUUGUAUAAGGAUGAGUCCUCGGCCGAUCUGGUUGUUGGUGAGGUAAUGGCUCACCAAGCCUUUUACCGGUGCGGCCCGUGGGAGCGGGAGCCCGGAGAUGGACAAUGAGACAAGGGCCCAGGCCCUACGGGGCGCAGCAGUCUCGAAAACUUUUCAAUAAGCGAAAUCUUGACAGGGCUAUCGAGAGUUCCAUGGGUUGAGGAGGGCUUUUACCCAGUCUAGUACGGAGGGGGAAUAAGCAGUGGGCAUCUCCGGUGUCAGGAGACGCGGUAAUACCACGUCUGCGAGUGGUGUGGAUGUCCUUUCGUCAUAAAGCCACCGUAGUUCGCCAAGUUAGUCCAUCGUCAAUCCAUGGCAAUUAAUCGGUGGAUUGCGGGGGAUCGCUUAGGCUAGGGGACGAGAGAGGCAGCCGGUAUUAGGGGGGUAGGGGUGAUAUCCUAUAAUCAUCGGGAAGACCACCAGUGGCGAAGGCUGUCUCGUAGAACGCCCCCGACGGUGAGGGAUGAAAGCUGGGGGAGCGAGCCGGAUUAGACACCCGGGUAGUCCCAGCUGUAACAGAUUCAGAGUAGGUGUUUGGACGACCACGUGCCGUUGUAGUGCCGCAGGGAAGCUGUUAAGUCCACCUCCUGGGGAGUACGAUCUCAAGAGGAAAGGUAAAGGAAUUGKCGGGGGASC